GAUUACGAAGUUAGAAGUGAAUUUCAACGGGACAAGAGGAUAAAUUAAAUGGCAUCAAUAGCAGUUAUUCUCCAUCUGUGAAAGGAAUUCAGAAUGGAAGUAAUGGCACUUCCUCUGAACACAGAGAACAUAGCUCAUCUUUGCCAAGUCAUAAACCUGAAGAUUAUUUCCGAAGUGGAACAAAGUUAGCAUUUACUCCAAAUACAGUUAUUACAGGUAAA
rnacentral:lncRNA from 1 species